AAAUAAGUUGAGGCGUGNCGCAUCGGUGCUGCGUGGGGCCGCAGGGAAGCCGUUUAAGCGCGUCGGCUGGGGAGUACGGACGCAAGACUGAACUUAAAGGAAUUGGCGGGGGAGCACCACAAGGGGUGAAGCCUGCGGUUCAAUUGGAGUCAACGCCGGGAAACUUACCGGGAGCGACAGCAAAUUGAGGGUCAAGCUGAAGACUUUACCUGACGAGCUGAGAGGAGAAAGCAUAGAAAAAAAA
rnacentral:rRNA from 1 species